UCUUGAAUCAAUACAAUGGCAGGUCACUCUGGCAGUUUGUUCAGACGGACAAUUUUGAACUGCAACUUUUUACGGAUGCCGCAGGUGGGGCAGGCUACGGUGCAUACUUGCAGGGCCAGUGGAGUGCAGAGAAGUGGCCUCCAGAGUGGGAGGAGAUGGGGCUCACUAAGAAUUUAACAUUUUUAGAGCUUUUCCCUUUGCUAGUGUCAGUGGAAUUAUGGCAGGACAGGUUGAGAGACAGGCGGGUAAUAUUUCGGUCAGACAACAUGGGGGUGGUGCAGGCCAUAAACAAUGUAUCGGCGUCCUCCCCAGCAGUCAUUAGGUUACUGAGAUAUUUUGUUUUGCGGUGCCUUCAGCUCAACAUGUGGGUAAGGGCAAAACAUGUUCCCGGGGUAGACAAUAAUAUUGCGGAUGCUCUCUCUCGGUUUCAGUGGACCCGUUUUUACGAGCUUGCACCGUCAGCGGACCGAGAGGGGCUCCAUUGUCCGGAUUGGUUAUGGGAUUUGGGGGCCGGGAGGUGGCAGAACUGGUGAGACAAUCGGUUGCCCAUCGACUUGGGCCAGGUAUUCCGGGGUUUGGGAUGAAUGGGAGUCAGUUAAGAGGCAAUACGGUGAGUAUGGAGGGGUAGGUGGAGAAAGGGAAAUACUGAUAUGGUGGAUCAGCAGGCUAUGCAAAAGGGGUAUAACCGCGUCUUCACUCGACACCAAGAUGGCCGGCUUGUCCUUCUAUUUUAGGGUAGGAGGUUCGCAGGAUCACACGAAGGACACGAUUAUCCGACAGGCGUUAAAAGGGUACCGCAGAGGGAAAUUAGUCAGGGACCAGAGGAAGCCAGUUACAUUUAACCUGCUGCAACAGUUGAGUAAGGAGUUGGAGAGGACAUGUUUUUCAGCUUUUGAAGUUAUCUUGUUCCGUUUGGCGUAUAGUUUGGCAUUUUUUGGGGCGUUUCGGGUCAGCGAACUAGUGGCACCUUCUAAAGCAGUAGUGGGGGGCCUUGCAUAUGGGGACCUGAUAGUGGCAAGCAGGCAGUUACAUAUUGUUCUACGCAGGUCGAAAACUGACCAGGAGGGCAGGGGCAAGAAUAUAGUUUUACAGGAGUUGGAAGGACACCAGUUAUGCCCAGUUACACUUUUUGAACAAUACAAGGUCAUGCGGCCAAAGCAAGAUGGCCCCUUUUUGGUUCAUGAGGAUGGUAAGUUUUUGUCCAGGUAUCAGUUCUGCUCAGUUUUGAGGAAAUUAUUGGCUAAUUUAGGCAUGGCUGCAAACAUGUACGGGUCCCACUCGUUUAGAAUCGGGGCAGCCACGGAGGCAGCUAGGUGGGGACUAGGUGACAAGGCAAUCAAACAGGUUGGGAGAUGGACGUCAAACAGAUUUCGUGCGUAUGUAAGGGUGGACAAGGUGGAGUGUUGAAUCACUCACUCGUUAUUGUUAAGGUUCAGGAGGUAGGCUAACAUGCCGAAGCCGGCUGUGUGUUAUGUUUUGUCCACAGGCAACCCCCGGGCAUUGGUUUGGAUAAUGGGACAUUCCUACGUUCACCACGCAGCCAGAAGGGCGGCUGUUCGUUUCGAUGGGAAGCAACUGGGGCUUGAUAAGUCCACGGCGGUGCAAGGUGGCGAUUCCCUUAACAAACAUGGCGAAUGUCACUUCUCGCACGUACAGAGCACACCCGGAAGUGAGGCCUGCUAAUAUAGCGGAAGUUCUUACCUAGUUCCGGUCUCUAGCCUCUGGGCCGCCGGGG